CGUAGGCGGGAUAUUAAGUUAGGUGUGAAAACUCUGGGCUCAACUCAGAGACUGCACUUAAAACUGGUAUUCUUGAGGACAGGAGAGGAAAGUGGAAUUCCUAGUGUAGCGGUGAAAUGCGUAGAUAUUAGGAGGAACACCAGUGGCGAAGGCGACUUUCUGGACUGUAACUGACGCUGAGGCGCGAAAGCGUGGGGAUGACG
rnacentral:rRNA from 1 species